rnacentral:lncRNA from 1 species
GUCAAAUCUUCACUUUUAGGCAUUUUUGGUUUGGUUUUUGAUGAUUUUGGGUUUAGGUUGUGUGGUGGGGGGUGGGAAGCUGAUUUUGGGGACCUCAAAUUCCUUGGAGGAAGUGCUUAUGUUGAGUGGAAGUGUUGGGAUGAAGUUCUGGGUGAAGUGUAAUAAAAAAGGGUGUGGUAAACGUUUAAAAUGAGCCAGUAAACGCUUACGCGUGUGUUUUGUCCAAUCUGUACAGAAAGUCCUUCACAGAGAACCCUUUUUUUGUACACAGGGCACCAUUAUGUCAAAUCUUCACUUUUAGGAAUUUUUGGUUUGGUUUUUGAUGAUUUUGGGUUUAGGUUGUGUGGUGGGGGGUGGGAAGCUGAUUUUGGGGACCCCAAAUUCCUUGGAGGAAGUGUUUAUGUUGAGUGGAAGUGUUGGGAUGAAGUUUUGGGUGAAGUGUAGUCAAAAAGGGUGUGGUAAACGUUUACAAUGAGCUGGUAAACGUUUACGC